rnacentral:rRNA from 1 species
CAGCCGCCACGGGAAUACGAAGGGGGCUAGCGUUGUUCGGAUUUACUGGGCGUAAAGCGCACGUAGGCGGACUUUUAAGUCAGGGGUGAAAUCCCGGGGCUCAACCCCGGAACUGCCUUUGAUACUGGAAGUCUUGAGUAUGGUAGAGGUGAGUGGAAUUCCGAGUGUAGAGGUGAAAUUCGUAGAUAUUCGGAGGAACACCAGUGGCGAAGGCGGCUCACUGGACCAUUACUGACGCUGAGGUGCGAAAGCGUGGGGAGCAAACAGGAUUAGAUACCCCAGUAGUCCCUGUCUCUUAUAC